ensembl:lncRNA
CCCCGGCACCGCCCGCGCCGCGGGGCGAGGUGAGGUGAGCGCCCGCUCCUGCCAUGGCGGCGCUGCGGGACGUCUUUCGGCGGCCUUUCGGCGGCCCGCUCGCGGUGGGUUUCAGUUCCCCGGGCAGCGAGCCGACGGCAGCGGUGGUGUCUGUCAGCGCCUGUCCUGCGCCCCCGGCCUGCCGAAGAUCCCUUUGGAAGCGAAAAAACUGCUUUGAAGCAUCUAGGGGAAGCAGGCGGGAAUUUACUAUAAAUUCCUCACAGGUACAGCAGCUCUACAGAAGCAGCUUAAUUUCCUCCCGGCCGGCUGCAGGCAGUCAGCACAGCCACUCACCUCCGCGAGGCGCUGCCCCCCGAGCUCUGCUGCUGGCCGCGCUCGGUGCGGGACACGCGGUGCAGAAAGUGCCAUUUAGGAGUCUGCGCCAUACGGAUCGCGGGGCCAUUAUAAAGCCGGGCUGUGUCUGUGCUGUGUGUUCUCUGAGCUUGUUGGAGUGUCUGUGUUCACCUUUCUGUUUCGAGCGGUAGUGCGAAAAUCAUCGUUAACUUCAACACGUAUAAUUUGUGUUUCCUUUUCAGACCCUUUGUGGCGUAUCAUAAUGCUGGCCAAUCUCGUAUUUUUUCUUUGCCUGGCUAUUAAUGCUGCUUCUUAGCUUCUUCUCAUUCUCUAGUCAUACACGAUCCUGCCCCUCUGUGCUGUGGGGCCUCACCUGGAGUACUGCUUACAGAUGUGGAGUCCUCAGUACAGGAGAGACACGGACCUGUUGGAGGGUGUCCAGAGGAGGGCCACAAAAAUAAUCCCAGGGAUGGAACACCUCUCCUGUGAGGACAGGCUGGGAGAGCUGGGGCUGUUCAGCCUGGAGAAGGCACUGGGGAAACCUGAGAGUGGCCUUUCAGUAUCUAAAGGGGGGCUGUAAGAAGGAAGGGGACAGACUUUUUAGUAGGGUCUGUUGUGAAUUGGAAUUUCACACUUGGAAUUUCAUCACCCUAAUAGAAAUCAGGAGAGGGAAAUUGGUUUUGUGUGCCUCUGCAGAUGGUCAGCAGUGGACAGGACCCAGUGACAGACAUGGAAGAGUUUGGUGCUUCUGACAACUGCGGAGCGUCGCUGAGGAUCCCAGAGCUGUGACUGCAGUUUUCCAAUUCCCAGGCUGUCUUGGCAGUAGAGGAAAUGUGAAGAAGAGCUAUGUGUCAUUUGAAUAGUGCUGUCAUCUUACCAAUUACUACUAUAGCUGCUGUACACAGGUGUUGCAAGGUCAUACCUUCACCCAUCCGAGGCAAAGACAUGAUGUUAUCUGCCUGAAAAUAUCUGUCUGGGCAAUCCUUCAACAAGACUUCUCCCACACAUCAAUCCAACUUUCUUUUUUCUCCUGUAACUUCUUGCUUCUUUCAUGUUGCACAAGAGGUUCCCUAAAACAUUAAUUUUUCCUCCUCCAAAUUCCUACAGUAAGUACCACUUUGUCUACAAAAUCCUUCUCAGUAAUUAAGAAGCUCAUAUGUUACAACCUCUGCUUGGUAUGAUAAUUACCCUACUGCUAGCUCUCCCUGUUGACUGUGUUCAUCUUCCAUCCAUUGCCAUUAGCUUGAAUUGAAUAGAAUUUGGAGUGGUAUGAAGUGCCUCACACAGAGAAGAACCAGCAUUUUGAAGGGCCUGCAGGUGCUGCUACCUGAAGGUUAGUUUAACAACUGAAAAUACUCUAUCGUGAAUGGCCUCAAUAUAUCAUUCAGGUUGUUUGCAUUUCUAAUGCCUAUUUUGAAGCCUUGUGUGAAGUGGAAAGUGGAGGUGAUAAUUCAUUAGCAAGCAAAAUCUAGAAGUAAGGUAUUAUGAAAAAAAAAAACCUUUUAUGGAGGGAAGAUGGAGAACUUAAUGCUCAAGAUUUGUCCAAACUUGUUAGCACUGGCAAAAGUAAUCUCCAUUUCCUCCUGGCUACUUGACAAAAGGAGGACAACAAACUUCUCUCUGCUGACUAGGAAUACAGUAAACAUUCAUGAUUUCAAGUAUGGUGAUAAGAGCGUAUUGCACCACAGUGCCAUCUCAUAGCAGUUUGUUCAGCUGAGCAUUCACUGGGCCAGCACAUCACCACUGUCAGCAUGCAAAUAAGCUCUCCCAUGCAGCUGAGAAUGAAGGCCAGAAGCCUGAAAAUAACCCAGCAAAGCAUGCCUGUUGUAAGGAAUGAGAGGUACUUGCCAACUUUUAAUCACUGGGCUUAGUGACUGGCAUGACAACAUUUUUCUGAUGGGGAAAUUAUUUACAGGCAGUUGGAAGGUCAG